rnacentral:rRNA from 2 species
GAUUGGUGCUUGCAUCAUGAUUUACAUUUGAGUGAGUGGCGAACUGGUGAGUAACACGUGGGAAACCUGCCCAGAAGCGGGGGAUAACACCUGGAAACAGAUGCUAAUACCGCAUAACAACUUGGACCGCAUGGUCCGAGUUUGAAAGAUGGCUUCGGCUAUCACUUUUGGAUGGUCCCGCGGCGUAUUAGCUAGAUGGUGGGGUAACGGCUCACCAUGGCAAUGAUACGUAGCCAACCUGAGAGGGUAAUCGGCCACAUUGGGACUGAGACACGGCCCAAACUCCUACGGGAGGCAGCAGUAGGGAAUCUUCCACAAUGGACGAAAGUCUGAUGGAGCAACGCCGCGUGAGUGAAGAAGGGUUUCGGCUCGUAAAACUCUGUUGUUAAAGAAGAACAUAUCUGAGAGUAACUGUUCAGGUAUUGACGGUAUUUAACCAGAAAGCCACGGCUAACUACGUGCCAGCAGCCGCGGUAAUACGUAGGUGGCAAGCGUUGUCCGGAUUUAUUGGGCGUAAAGCGAGCGCAGGCGGUUUUUAAGUCUGAUGUGAAAGCCUUCGGCUCACCGAAGAAGUGCAUCGGAAACUGGGAAACUUGAGUGCAGAAGAGGACAGUGGAACUCCAUGUGUAGCGGUG